UACGUAGGGGGCAAGCGUUGUCCGGAUUUACUGGGUGUAAAGGGCGCGUAGGCGGGCUUGUAAGUCAGAGGUGAAAUCCUGCAGCUUAACUGCAGAACUGCCUUUGAUACUGCAAGUCUUGAGUUCGAAAGAGAGAGAUGGAAUUCCAGGUGUAGUAGUGAAAUACGUAGAUAUCUGGAAGAACACCAGAGGCGAAGGCGAUCUCUUGGUUCGAUACUGACGCUGAGGCGCGAAAGCGUGGGGAGCAAACAGGAUUAGAGACCCUGGUAGUCCACGCUGUAAACGAUGAAUACUAGGUGUUGGACAAUAGUUCAGUGCCGCAGCAAACGCAUUAAGUAUUCCACCUGGGGAGUACGAUCGCAAGGUUGAA
rnacentral:rRNA from 1 species